CCACAUCCAGUAACCGAUAGACCACCAGGGCCAACACCACAUCCAACACCACUCCAACUCCCAUACAUCACCACAUAGAACACCAGGUCCAACACCACAUGCACCAGCACAUCCAACACCACAUACACCAUCACAUCCAACACCACAUAGACACCACAUCCAACCCCAGGUCCAACAGCACAUACUCCACCAGGUCCAACACCAUCCAACUCCCCAUACAUCACCACAUAGAACACCAGGUCCAACACCACAUACACCACCAGGUCCAACACCCCAUACACCACCACAUCCAACAUCACAUACACCACCAGGUCCAACACCACAUACACCACCAGGUCCAACAGAACAUCCAACAUCCCAUACACCACCACAUACACCACAAGGUACAACACCACAUCCACCACCACAUUCAACACCACAUACACCACCAGGUCCAAAACCACAACGAACACCACAUACACCACCAGGUCCAACACCACGUGCACCACCACGCCCACCACCAUGUUCAACACCACAUCCAACACCAGGUGCAGCACCACAUCCACCACCAUAUCCAGCAUAAUGUCCACCACCAUGUGCACCCCCAGGUCCAACACCACAUCCUCCACGAGGGCCAAGACCACAUACACCAGCAGGACCAACACCACAUUGAAGGCCUCAUCCAACACCACAUACACCACCCCAUCCAACACCACAUACACAACCACAUCCAACACCACAUACACCACCACAUCCAACCCCAGGACCAACUGCACAUACACUACCACAUUCAACACUAAAUAUCCCACCAUGUCCAACACCACAUCCAUCACCUCAUACAACACCAGGUCCAACACCACGUGCACCACCACGCCCACCACAAUGUUCAACACCAGGUCCAACACCGCGUGCACCACCACGCCCACCACAAUGUUCAACACCACAUCCAACAUCAGGUCCACGACCACAUCCAACACCUCAUACACCACCAGGUCCACGACCACAUCCAACAACGCAUAUACCACCACAUCCAACACCUCAUACAUCACCACAUCCAACACCACAUUCACCACCAGGUCCAACACCACAUCCAACACCACGCCCACCACCAUAUUCAACACCACAUCACACACCAGGUCCAACACCACAUCCAACACCACGCCCACCACCAUAUUCAACACCACAUCACACACCAGGUCCACCACCACAUCCAGCACCUUGUCCACCACCAUGUCCAACACCACAUCCACCACCAGGUCCAACACCACAUACACCACCAGGUCCAACACCACAUCCAACACC
ensembl:lncRNA